AUACGUAGGGGGCGAGCGUUGUCCGGAAUGAUUGGGCGUAAAGGGCGCGUAGGCGGCGCGGUAAGUCUGGAGUGAAAGUCCUGCUUUCAAGGUGGGAAUUGCUUUGGAUACUGCCGCGCUUGAGUGCAGGAGAGGUUAUCGGAAUUCCCGGUGUAGCGGUGAGAUGCGUAGAGAUCGGGAGGAACACCAGUGGCGAAGGCGGGUAACUGGACUGCAACUGACACUGAGGCGCGAAAGUGUGGGGAGCAAACAGGAUUAGAUACCCUGGUAGUCCACACUGUAAACGAUGAAUGCUAGGUGUAAGAGGUAUCGACCCCUUUUGUGCCGGAGUCAACACAAUAAGCAUUCCGCCUGGGGAGUACGGCCGCAAGGUUGAAACUCAAAGGAAUUGACGGGG
rnacentral:rRNA from 1 species